CCCUGCGCCCCCGCCCCGGCGUGCGAGGCGCCGCGCCCUCCCGCUGCCCUGCCUGGUGCAUGGAGGGGCCCGUUCGGAUCGCAGCCGCCGACGCCGCCGUAGCCGCCGCCAGCGCGCGGGGGAUGACCUGGGGGUGGCUGUCGCAGCCCGCUGCCGCGCAGGAGGUCUGGGGGCUUAGCCUGCCCCGCUGAGAGUGAGCCAAGGCCUGGAUUUUCCUCUGGAAGUCUGUCCUGCCCACUUCCGUAAUCUGGCGCUAUGCAUCCUGAUCCUGGACCCUUACAGACACUGCUGUUUGUUACCCUUCUGAUUCUGUGCUCUUCUGUGAGUUCAGACUUGGCACCUUAUUUUAUUUCUGAGCCAUUGUCUGCUGUCCAGAAACUUGGUGGACCUGUAGUACUGCAUUGUUCUGCUAAACCGGUGACCGCUCAUAUCUCAUGGCUGCAUAAUGGAAAAAGGUUGGACAGAAACGUGGAACGGAUUAAGAUUCAUCAGGGGACUUUGACUAUUCUUUCUCUUAACCACUCCCUCACGGGUUACUACCAGUGCAUUGCCAACAACAGCAUCGGUGCCAUUGUGAGUGGCCCUGCCAUGGUAUCCACUGCAGUUCUUGGUGAUUUUGGCUCAUCAACAAAGCAUGUUAUUACAGCAGAAGAAAAAAGUACUGGUUUCAUUGGCUGCGAGGUACCAGAUAGUAACCCCAAAGCUGAGGUGCGCUAUAAAAUCCGGGGAAAGUGGCUGAAACAUUCCACAGAGAAUUACUUAAUCCUUCCGUCAGGAAAUCUUCAGAUUUUGAAUGUAUCCUUAGAGGACAAGGGGUCGUAUAAAUGUGCAGCUUUUAAUCCUGUCACACAUGAGUUAAAAGUUGAACCCAUCGGCCGAAAGCUCCUUGUGAAUCGCCCUUCUUCAGAUGAUUUUCACAUUCUUCACCCCACCCUUUCACAGGCAUUAGCUGUUCUUUCUCACAGCCCCGUAACCCUGGAGUGUGUGGUGAGCGGGGUCCCAGCUUCUCAAGUGCACUGGCUGAAGGACGGUCAGGAUGCUGUGCUGGGAAGCCGCUGGAGAAGGCUGUACUCUCAUCUUGCCACGGAUAGCAUUGACCCAGGGGACUCUGGGAACUAUUCCUGUGUGGUGGGAACCAAGUCUGGAGAUGUAAAACAUGUGACUUACGUGGUUAAUGUACUUGAACACGCUUCAAUUUCUCAAGGACUGCAGGACCAGACCGUGUCUCUGGGUGCCACAGUAGAAUUUACUUGUGAGGUUCAUGGGAACCCAGCUCCCAACCGUUCCUGGUUUCAUAACGCACAGCCCAUUCACCCUUCCCCACGACAUCUCACUGCAGGAAAUGGGUUGAAAAUCGUUGGUGUGACCGUGGAAGAUUCGGGGCUGUAUCAGUGUGCAGCUGACAACGGGGUUGGAUUUAUGCAGUCUACUGGGAGACUUGAAAUUGAAAAAGACCGUGGACUCAAGCCAGUUAUAAUUACAGCGCCAGCAAGUGCCAAGGUGGUAGAUGGAGACUUUGUUACUUUGUCCUGCAAUGCCACUGGAGUGCCGGUUCCAGUGGUUCGCUGGUAUGACAGGCAUGGAUUGAUAACCAGCCAUCCGUCUCAAGUCCUUAGAUCUAAAUCCCGAAAGUCACACUUAUUAAGACCUGCGGGCUUUGACCUGGAGCCCGUCUCCUUCGUCAUGUCCCGAGCUGGCUCGAGCUCUCUGUAUAUUCAGGCUGUUACUCAGGAGCAUGCUGGGAAGUACACCUGCGAAGCUACGAAUGACCAUGGCACCACCCAGUCGGAAGCAGUCCUCACAGUUGUUCCUUUUGAAACAAAUACAAAAGCAGAAAUAGUCAUACCUUCUGAGCCCACUCAAAAUGAUGAAAGAGAUGAUUCAGAAACUGGAUUACUGAGCUCAUUUCCAGUGAAGGAACAUUCCAGUGCAGUGGAGUCAACUUCAGAGAAAAAUGCUAGUGGUGCCUCUGUCCCGGAUGCCCCCAUCAUUCUGAGCCCUCCGCAGACCCGCACACCAGACACGUACAGCCUGGUGUGGAGGGCAGGCAAGGAUGGCGGCCUGCCCAUCAAUGCCUACUUUGUGAAGUAUCGAAAGCUAGACGACGGUGUUGGCCUGGUGGGAAGCUGGCACACAGUUCGAGUCCCAGGAAGUGAGAAUGAGCUGCAUUUAACGGAACUGGAGCCGUCCAGUCUCUAUGAAGUUCUCAUGGUGGCACGCAGCGCAGCCGGCGAAGGGCAGCCUGCCAUGCUCACCUUCCGGACCAGCAAAGAGAAAAUAGCAUCAUCAAAAAACACCCAGGCGUCCUCUCCGCCCAUGGGCGUCCCUAAACGCCCUGUUGUUCCAGAGGCUGCAGACAGCUUCGGGGUGGUGCUUCCAGAUCCCUCCAGGCAUAGUGGAGUUCCGGAAGCACCUGAUCGGCCCACCAUCUCCACCGCCUCGGAGACGUCCGUCUACGUCACUUGGAUUCCUCGGGCAAACGGGGGUUCUCCAAUCACCGCCUUCAAGGUGGAAUAUAAACGGAUGAGGACUAGCGAUUGGCUGGUGGCUGCGGAAGAUAUCCCUCCUUCCAAACUUUCUGUGGAAGUUCGUAGUUUAGAGCCAGGUUCAACAUACAAAUUUAGGGUCAUUGCCAUCAACCAUUAUGGUGAGAGUUUCCGGAGUUCGGCGUCCCGUCCUUACCAGGUGGCUGGGUUCCCCAAUCGGUUUUCUAACCGCCCCAUAACUGGACCUCACAUUGCCUAUACAGAAGCCGUCAGUGACACUCAGAUCAUGCUCAAGUGGACGUACAUUCCAUCAAGUAACAAUAACACUCCCAUUCAAGGAUUUUAUAUCUACUACCGGCCAACAGACAGUGACAAUGACAGUGAUUACAAGAGGGAUAUUGUAGAAGGUUCAAAGCAGUGGCACAUGAUUGGCCAUCUGCAGCCAGAAACCUCCUAUGAUAUUAAGAUGCAGUGCUUCAAUGAGGGAGGAGAAAGCGAGUUUAGUAACGUGAUGAUCUGUGAAACUAAAGUGAAACGUGUUCCUGGAGCUUCUGAGUACCCUGUCAGAGACCUGAGUACCCCUCCCAGUUCUUCAGGAAACGGGGGAAAUGUUGGGCCUGCAACCAGCCCCACCAGAAGCAGCGAUAUGUUGUAUCUGAUAGUUGGCUGUGUGCUAGGUGUCAUGGUCCUCAUUCUCAUGGUUUUCAUUGCAAUGUGCCUGUGGAAGAAUCGCCAGCAGAAUACCAUACAGAAAUAUGACCCACCGGGGUAUCUCUGCCAAGGACCAGAUAUUAAUGGGCAGAUGGUGGAAUACGCCACUCUGCCUGGCACCAACCGGAUAAAUGGAAAUGUUCAUGGAAGUUUCAUAAGCAAUGGGGGUCUCAGCAAUGGCUGCUCCCAUCUUCACCAUAAGGUCCCUAACGGAGUCAAUGGAAUUGUGAAUGGGAGCUUAAAUGGAGGCCUUUACUCUGGGCACACGAGCUCUCUAACCAGGACACGUGUGGAUUUUGAACAUCCUCGUCAUCUAAUGAAUGGUGGUGGAAUGUACACAGCAGUACCUCAGACUGACCCGUUGGAGUGCAUUAACUGUCGAAAUUGCCGGAACAACAAUAGAAAUGAGCAGAGAAAAAGAAACUAAGAGGAAAGAAACAGAAGAAUUUAAGGCAUCUUAUUAUCUGGGAACAGCCUUGGUUUUUCAAAUCCUGGUUUCCAGUAUCUCUGAAUUACGUCUAGAUUUUUAUUAAGGGCCUGGCUGUGCUAUAAUACAUCCCACUGUUCUAAGAGCUUCCUCUGCCACGGGACAGGCAUUGCCUGUCCUCCAGGAAAGUGAAGCAUCAGACGACUUGGAAGCCAACAGAUUCAAGAAGAGCCAGACAGCAGAGCCAAUAUUGAACGAGGACAAAGGUAACAACUACUGUGAUACAAAAAUCUCAAGGAGUAGGUGUACCAGUUCAUCCUCACUGGGAUACACGUGUCUUAUCUUGGUAUUGGGUAUGGUCUCUUGUAAGGUAUUUUGGCUAAUUAGUUUAACUGUUGCUCCCUGAUAAUUACUUGCUUAAGAGAAAACGUAUAACAAAGGUCUGAUGUUCUAAUGUUUAUUAUUUAUUUAUUCAGUAUUUUUGAGGUCCUACUCUAUGCCAUUUACUAUGCGCUUGCUGCUGGGCAUUAUGACUUUAAUUAGGGUCUAAUCUACAUUAGUACUUCUACCACUUCCUAGACAAAAGACUUUGGAACGGUUUAACUCCGUUUCCGUCUCCAGUGUUUUGUGUUAUUUUUACAUAUGUUUUCUACAAAUAUUUAAAAUCCUCUACGACAUUCCAAUUACCAUUUUUUGCAGUCAAUAAUUAUUCAGAAUUCCUGAAAUUACCUUUUUUUGUUGCUGCUAGUUUUCUUUUCCAUUUCCUUUCUUCUGUCUGUGGCUCCUCAUUUUCCUUCACCUUGAGCUCCCUUUAGUAUUUCUUGUAGUACAGGUCUGAGGGACAGAUCCUCUCAGUUUUUUGGUCUGAAAAUGUCUUCAAUUCAUCUUCCUUUUUGAAGGAUAUUUAUCACUGUUUAUUGAAUUCUACUUUGCCACUUACUUUCUUUUUGUACUUUAAAGAUGUCAUUCCAUUAUUUUAUUGCUUCUGUCAUUUCUGUUGACAAAUCAUCUGUACAGUUAUUAGUGCUUUUUCAAGAUAAUAAUGCCUUUUUUUUCCUGGAUGCUUUUAUGAUUUUCACUUUGUGUUUUGCUUCCAUCAUGUUAAUUAUUCACAUCUGAAAGUGUAAUUUUCUUUGUAUUUAUUCUGCUUGGGGCUCAUAGAACUUCUUGAAUCCAUGGCUUUAGUUUUCCUCCAUUUUAGGGAAUUCCUAGCCUUUAUCUCUCCAAAUAUGGCUUCUGUCCCGUUCCCCCUUUUCUCUCCCUCAGAGAGACUCUAGCUGUACUUAUUGUUGAACUUUUCACUAUACCUCAUAUGUCUUUUAAGCUUAUUCCUAUAUUUUCCAUCCUUUUGUCUCUCUGCUUCAGUCUGAAUCCUGUGCAAUCCUGUACAAGCUUCAUGUUCAGUAAACCUCUGCCCAUCUGUGCCCAAUUUGCUCUUAACCCCAUGUAUUGGGUUCUUAAUUUCAGCUAUUCUACUUUUUAGUUUAGAAAUUCCAAAUAAUAAUUAUUAUAAGAUUCUAAGUCUCUGCUAAAUUUCUCCAUCUUAUCUAUUUUCUUGAAUAUAUUCAUCCCACUCUUUUAAAGUCUUUGUCUCCGAACGCAAUAUCUCCAUCACUGUUUUUCUCUUGUUCCUCUCUCCUGAUGUGCCUCGUAAUUUUUAACUGAAUUCUGGACGUUGCAUGUAAAACCCCGUAGAAGCUCUGGAAGCUGCUUUUUCCUCCAGAAAGGAUUGACUUUUGCUUUGGGCAGACCAUUAGGCAAGAGGCAGAUUACUGUAACCCAAUUGGGAAUUGAGCUGAUUUAGUGCUGAGUUUUGGUCUUUGUCUGUUCCUGCUUCACCAUUGUUUUUACAAAGUAACCCUUCUGGGGUCCAAGUUAAAGGCCUGGGGUGUUUACUAUCUCUUUGGUAGGCUGUGAACUCCAAUUUCUGUCUUUCAGCCCCAGAAAACUGCCAAAAGUUCUGCUGAGCUGCUUUAGCUUAGCACUUUCUGCUUGACGUCUCAACGUCUCAUCCCGCUCUCAAUUGGGCAGAUGCCUCAAGAGGAGAGUGGUGCUGAAACUCAGGUUCACACUUACCUUCUCUCUGGACUCUCAGCCGCACAAGUGCUUUGAUAGCUGUCUGAUGACUUCAACAGAUUUAAAAUAAAACUCCUCCAUCUUUUUCAGUUGUUCUUGGCAGGAGAGUUGUGCUGAUACAAACUAAUCAAUCAUCGCCAGAGCCAGGAAUUUAAUUUUUAAGUAUUAUUUCCAACAAGUCAGGGUAGCCAUAUAGAUUCCCCUGACCAGAGAUACUUCUGGUUUGUUGAAAUCAGAAUUCUUUUUACUCUCUAAUUCCACAGUUGUUGUCUAGUAUAAUUUCCUCAAUUAUGAGACAGUUGAGUCUGAAAUAGUAUGGAAGAAUAUACACUGGUCUGUAGUUGGUAAUGUGGCAAGCACCCUAUUCUCUUCGGCCAUACAUCUCAAAGUUGGAUGCUCCCAGUGUCUUUUGUAUCUUCUUUUAUAACACUUACUGCAUUAUGUUGUAACCAUUUGCUUACUUGUCCAUCUCCUCUGCUGGACUGGGAGCUGGAACGCUGCUGUAUUUACCUUUAUAUUUUCAGUGCUUACCACAGUGUCUGACAUUUAGAAGAUAUUCAGCAAAUGCUUUUAAAAUAGACGGUUCUUCUGAGUAAGGUUAUUUAUAGAGCUGGAUAACAUCCAUUAAAUUCUCAUUGGUAGUAGUUUGAAUUCAGAAAAGUUCUUUUUUUGCCUCUGACCUUGCCCCACAUUUUGGAUGAAUACCCCAUUUAGAGUCUGAUUCUCAUAAAUUGAAUACAUGCAGAUUUUCAGGUUCCCUGGCUAUUGAGACAGUGAAAGAGACUAAUGACAAAAUAUAAGAAGGGAAGAGACUGAUAACAUGGACAUUUUUAAAUGGCUGUCAGGAGAUUAGUGCUACCCCUUGCCAGCAUCCUAGAAAAGUUUUUUAAGUUCAGAGUUGAAUAAAAUGUACAACAGAACACAUAAGGGAUGCCAUACUCUCCUGGAGUCAUGAUCCAUCCAGCCCAGUGCUCUGAUUCUGACUUCAACAAUCUUCCUUCUAUACCAGUGCCUCCUUCACUUUUUAUUGGCUUAAGACGUUAAGUGGCGUGUGAAUACUUAGGUUUUAUUUGAAUCAGGUUUAUGUUUUUUUGCUAUAUUAUUAAAAGUUAAAAUUACAGUCAUGUUAGAUAAUACUGUACUCAAAUUAUUUGGUACAAACGAAUACCUGACAUACUUUGCUUUUAUUCCAGAUGACUGGUAUCUGAAUUCCACUAAAUGUAUAGUGAGUAUAUUUCUCUAUUUGAAAUUAAAGUUGGACUUAUUUAAUUAAGGAUUUGAUUUACUGACAGAUAUCUUACUCUCUUUCAGGUUCAGAUCUUUCUUCAUGCUUAGCAUUUGGUAUUUCCAAUAACUUGAACCAACAGAGAUGCUAAUAACAGAUGCAUGGACACCUUUUACUAACUUUCAUAUGCCCUAGAAACAUACUAUUCCAUGUUAGAAGGAUAGAAAUCCAAAGAAUUCUUAUCUUUAUUCCCUAACAUUGCCUAUCUCCAGCAAUACUGCUGGUCAGUCCUAUGUGUUUCCUAACAUGCCAAAAUCAAAGCCAAAUGAAAUGUUUUCUCCAGACUUUCUUACUCCUAAUUUUAGAAAUAAAAAAUAUAUUUCUGAGAUUUCAGUUUCUGUUAAUGGUGGAAUAAAUAGCUUGAUCAUUUACAGGUAAUAAUGAUGAAAUCUGGACAAUUUGAAAGUAUUGGAGAAUAACCAAAAGCAGGAAGAAACUGAAUAAAUCUAACCUUGAAAGACGUUGGGUGACAUUUGUUUAUAGAUUUGUGCCUGAGGGCAUUCUCCAAUCUUGGGUCAAGUACCCAAACCAAAGGUGUCAGAGGAUGGAGUUUGAAGCCAAUAGAACACCCGGAAAAUUAGAGGGAAAAAUCUAGUAAAGGAAUGACUAUACAUCUGAAGAAAUAGGAAAAUGUGAUACUUAAGGGAAAAAAAGUCAAUAGAAACAGACUCUGAGAUGACCCAGAUGUCACAAUUAGCAGACGUUGACUUUAAAACAGCUUUUAUAAAUAUGUUCAAAGACUUAAAGGAAGAUAUGCACACAUUGAAUUCACAUAGUGGGAAAUUUCAGCUGAGAAAUAGGAACUAUAAAAAAGACCAAAUGGAAAUUCCAAAGCUGCAAGCAUGAUAACUGGAAUGGACAAUUUACUGGAUGGGCUUAACAGCAGAUUGGAGACAACAGAAGAGAGGCAAUGAACAGGAAGAUCAAUAGAAAUUAUCCAAUCUGAAGAACAGAAAGAAAAGAAUGAAAGAAAACACAUAUCUUGGGUGAAGGCAGGAAAUAAAAGUAGGGCAGAAUUGAAGUGAAUGCUCAGUGCUAAUAAAUUCUAGCAAUUAAUUUUGCAAAGAAAAAAUUGAAAAAUAAAUAAAACCUGGAUUUUGAAUGUCUAA